UACGUAGGGGGCAAGCGUUGUCCGGAUUUAUUGGGCGUAAAGAGCGUGUAGGCGGCCAGGUAGGUCAGCUGUGAAAACUCGAGGCUCAACCUCGAGACGUCGGUUGAAACCACCUGGCUAGAGUCCGGAAGAGGAGAGUGGAAUUCCUGGUGUAGCGGUGAAAUGCGCAGAUAUCGGGAGGAACACCAAUGGCGAAGGCAGCUCGCUGGGACGUUACUGACGCUGAGACGCGAAAGCGUGGGGAGCAAACAGG
rnacentral:rRNA from 1 species